rnacentral:lncRNA from 1 species
CUACACCUUCCAAAUUGAUUGAUUAAUGCGUGCACGCUUUCCCUAGAAGUAAUUCACACCGGAGACAAAGUUUCUGAUCAGUGAAAAACUCAGGAAUGCUUUAUUCCCCGGAGUGGGGGCUCCUUCUUAAAGCAAAAAUACGUCACAGUUUAAACAUACAGUAUACAUUCACCAAUUGGUUAACAGAGAAAGGGGCCUCUUGUUUAAACCUCCCUACAGAAUGUAGUGUCAUCAUUACAGACUUUUGGAUACACGAUGGGAGGGGGAGUGAGUGGUAUCUAUCAGUUCUAAACCAAUGAUCCUCCAUUUAGCUAUACGUGGCAUAUAGCUGUUAACUGGCACAAAGGUAGUGGGGGAGGAGUUAGUAAAGGGAGCUGUUAACACAGGAAUUUUGUUUACACAAGGUUUGCUUGAUUUGAAGGGGGAUGCUUAUCAGGAUGAAGAAUUUACAUAGUAAACAGCAACUGAACACAUUGUAGGGGGCGAAGGGAAUAUUUACUCUAGCAGCCAGUUUUAACAUAGUGAACACAGAAUAAAUAGACAUUAGUAAAUAGCCAUUUUAUUUUAAUUCAUCUGUCCAUAACAGUCCCCCCUUAAAAUGGCAAUUUUUACUAAAACUACUAUCUCUCAUUCUAAUACUGUCCCUAUAGAAAAAUAACAAAAGGCUAUCUUGCACAUCUGUCUGAACAGGCCUCGAACACUUCACUGCGCGGGUACCCCAUAGCAGCUUGUCCACUACUUCUCCCGCGGCAGACUUCUGCCCGUAGAGACAGACGCUAUCCCUAAAUGUCCUUAAGAGGAAGUAGCUGUUGAUUUAGUGCGGUGGGACUGUAAGGGUGUAUGUGGUGUAUCACGGUCGAUAUCGUCAAUCUCUUGGUGAAGGAAGGUCGGGGUGGUCUGGUCGAUUGUCUGAUCAACUGUCUUUUGUAGGCAUUUCUUAAGACAGGGUAACACACAACAAACAAGAAGAGCGAGGAUGAUUAUCGUUAUUAAAAUGGCAACACCUAUUUGGGCCAGAGCACCUUGCCAUCCAGUCAUCCAUCCAAACCAUCUUUCCCAUGGAUCUGCGGCCCCAGAAUUUCGUUUCAGCUCAUUGGACAAACUCUUUAACUUUUCUAUUGCCAAUGUUACCUUACCAUUAGGGCCUGUAUUAUCUGGAAUAUAGGUACAGCAUGUUAUGUUGUCUGGGAGUAUUUUACAUACUCUCCCUUUUUCUGCCAAAAUCAUUUUUAAGCUUAUUCUAUUCUGGAAGGUCAUCUGAGAGGUAGCUUGUAACCGCCCUAUCCCACCAUAUAUCCCAUAACAAGUAUAGUUCCCAGGAUAUAUAGUAAUGCCUUCGUUUGGGCAUAAUAUUUUUAGUAAUGAUUGGGUAUUAAGUUUCCAUGACUCGCAUGCUGACCGCUUAGGUUUAAAUACAGUGUAGAGACUUAAAACGCAUACUUCAUAUCCGGAGGAAGGUUCAGGGAUACUGUACCUGGGUGAGGCCUCGCUCCUCUGCAGACAUAGCAGUUAGACUUGUUAUGUUUAGUAGCAUUGUAUUUCAUCCAUUCAAGUCACAAGUUAGUGUCAGAGAAACCUGUCUCUACAGCCCUCUUAUCCUCAAAUAUGGGAUGACUACCAUGUCUUUUAAAGUCCUAAUGUGUGGUUUGAGGGGAUUAACAGUCAUGUGCGUGGCACCUACCCAUUCAGCUGAGUCAUACAUGUCCUGUAAGAAAAAGGUCUCCUGUUUAUUGUAUAAACCUCUUCCCUUCCAAUUCAGAUUUUAUUAGCCGUAAUGCUUGGGAGAAUAGAUUCAAACUUAGUUUCUUACCUUAAAAUCAUUUGGUACCCCCCUUGACACCCCUAUGGCAUUAAUAUACAUAUAUAUAUAUAUGUGUGGGUAAAACCACCCUUUAUAGGGGUACUCCUUUUUGUCCUGAAGCAUGAAUGAGGUGUGUCAAGAGUACCUUGGGGAUUGUCA